rnacentral:rRNA from 1 species
ACGCCUUUUUCUCUCUUUUUUCUGAAUUACUGGGCGUAAAGCGCACGUAGGCUGACUUUUAAGUCAGGGGUGAAAUCCCGGGGCUCAACCUCGGAACUGCCUUUGAUACUGGAAGUCUUGAGUCCGAGAGAGGUGAGUGGAACUCCGAGUGUAGAGGUGAAAUUCGUAGAUAUGCGGAAGAACACCAGUGGCGAAGGCGGCUCACUGGCUCGGUACUGACGCUGAGGUGCGAAAGCGUGGGGAGCAAACAG